GAUGAACGCUGGCGGCGUGCCUAAUACAUGCAAGUCGAGCGAACAGACGAGGAGCUUGCUCCUCUGACGUUAGCGGCGGACGGGUGAGUAACACGUGGAUAACCUACCUAUAAGACUGGGAUAACUUCGGGAAACCGGAGCUAAUACCGGAUAAUAUAUUGAACCGCAUGGUUCAAUAGUGAAAGACGGUUUUGCUGUCACUUAUAGAUGGAUCCGCGCCGCAUUAGCUAGUUGGUAAGGUAACGGCUUACCAAGGCAACGAUGCGUAGCCGACCUGAGAGGGUGAUCGGCCACACCGGAACUGAGAAAAGGUCCAGAAUCCUACGGGAGGCAGCAGUAGGGAAUCUUCCGCAAUGGGCGAAAGCCUGACGGAGCAACGCCGCGUGAGUGAUGAAGGUCUUCGGAUCGUAAAACUCUGUUAUUAGGGAAGAACAAAUGUGUAAGUAACUAUGCACGUCUUGACGGUACCUAAUCAGAAAGCCACGGCUAACUACGUG
rnacentral:rRNA from 1 species